rnacentral:rRNA from 1 species
UACGGAGGAUCCAAGCGUUAUCCGGAUUUAUUGGGUUAAAGGGUGCGUAGGCGGCCCUGUAAGUCAGUGCUGAAAUACCCCGGCUUAACCGGGGGGGUGGCAUUGAUACUGCAGGGCUUGAGUACAGAUGAGGUAGGCGGAAUUGACGGUGUAGCGGUGAAAUGCAUAGAUAUCGUCAAGAACACCGAUAGCGAAGGCAGCUUACUGGGCUGUAACUGACGCUGGAUGCACGAAAGUGUGGGGAGUCAAAACAGG